GCUGGAGAGCACAGCUCCUCUCAAGCAGUCUCCAUGUGGCUUUGUGACGGAGAGCUGGUCGGGUGAGGCAGUGACUGUCUCUCCACUGACUGCAACAACUAGCAGCAGGUGACAGGAGUGCUAACCUACCAUAUAUACCUGUGACGACCCAGGUUCUGGAGUGAAUAAGGUCCUAGAAACCGGUUCCGGAGCCCGUUUUUUUGCUAACACCUUCAGAGGCCUGAUUUUCUCCAGAAUCUGGUAACUGAAGAUGGCUUUGACAAAAGAGGAUAGAAUUGAGGUGAUUUUGAUGUCUGGAGAACAAAGUUUCCAUGUCAUAGCUUCAGAUUUUAACAACCGGCACCCAGAAAGACCUCUAAUUUUACAUAGCACUGCCAGGUGCCUAAUUUCCAGAGAAAUUGGGACUGUGGCUGACAAGUCACGGUGUGGUCGUCCAAAAAGUGCUACUGACAAGACAACCUCAACAAUGGUUUUGGCAUCCUUUGUGAAGAGGAUCAAAAUUUGGAUUGUACCUCCAGUGUGUAGAAUUUAAUAAACUACAAAAAUUGUCCUGUCACCUUUUACCGUAUCUGCCACAGGUGCUCCUCGGGUAACACCAAGAACC